rnacentral:rRNA from 1 species
GAUGAACGCUGGCGGCGUGCCUAAUACAUGCAAGUCGAGCGAACAGACGAGGAGCUUGCUCCUCUGACGUUAGCGGCGGACGGGUGAGUAACACGUGGAUAACCUACCUAUAAGACUGGGAUAACUUCGGGAAACCGGAGCUAAUCGCGGAUAAUAUAUUGAACCGCAUGGUUCAAUAGUGAAAGACGGUUUUGCUGGCACUUAUAGAGGGAUCCGCGCCGCAUUAGCUAGUUGGUAAGGUAACGGCUUACCAAGGCAACGACGCGUAGCCGACCUGAGAGGGUGAUCGGCCACACUGGAACUGAGACACGCUCCAGACUCCUACGGGAGGCAGCAGUCGGGAAUCUUCCGCAAUGGGCGAACGCCUGACGGAGCAACGCCGCGUGAGUGAUGAAGGUCUUCGGAUCGUAAAACUCUGUUAUUAGGGAAGAACAAAUGUGUAAGUAACUGUGCACGUCUUGACGGUACCUAAUCAGAAAGCCACGGCUAACUACGUG